rnacentral:tRNA from 1 species
GGCGGCUUAGCUCAGUUGGCUAGAGCAAACGGUUCAUACCCGUUGUGUCCGGAGUUCAAAUCUCUGAGCCGCCACCA